rnacentral:rRNA from 1 species
CCUUGUACACACCGCCCGUCACACCAUGGGAGUGGGUUGCAAAAGAAGUAGGUAGUCUAACCUUCGGGAGGGCGCUUACCACUUUGUGAUUCAUGACUGGGGUG